GUUUAUUUCCCCUUGGUUGGGAAAGAGGAGUUUCAUAAAAUCAUCUGUGCACCUCAACCAAGCCCAUGACGUAGCUGCGUUCAAGCGAAAGGAAGGAAAAAUCCACAACUAUUUUAGCUCCCUUUUUUUUUUCUCUUCCUUUCUCAUUCUUUUUUUCCCACUAUGGUGGUCAAUGAUGAGUGAUAUGCGGCCAUGGUCGUGUAUCUCAAUACAUAUAUAGGAAGAGGAUGAAUUGCUCUCUUUUGAGAGCUUGAUAUCGACUGACAACACUCUGAGGCCUGAUUUGGUUUUAUUCCAACCAACUCGAUCGGAUCGAUAUUUUUUCCCUCUACUUUCCUAUCUCUGUUUCUUUGGUUUCGAACCAUCAGAAUACUAUUUUGUUCCCUUGACUUUAAAUUUUAAUUCAGAAAGUUUCUGUGUAUCAUUUUACAUCUGGUUUGAUAACCAAGUAUUCACGCUGGAGCCAUUGAGGGCUCAAAUCAUACUUUUGACCCUAACUAACGCA
rnacentral:sRNA from 1 species